GACGAACGCUGGCGGCAGGCCUAACACAUGCAAGUCGAGCGAGCGGCGGACGGGUGAGUAAUGUCUGGGAAACUGCCUGAUGGAGGGGGAUAACUACUGGAAACGGUAGCUAAUACCGCAUACCAUCAGAUGUGCCCAGAUGGGAUUAGCUAGUAGGUGGGGUAACGGCUCACCUAGGCGACGAUCCCUAGCUGGUCUGAGAGGAUGACCAGCCACACUGGAACGGAGACACGGUCCAGACUCCUACGGGAGGCAGCAGGGGGGAAUAGUGCACAAUGGGCGCAAGCCUGAUGCAGCCAUGCCGCGUGUGUGAAGAAGGCCUUCGGGUUGUAAAGUACUUUCAGCCGGGAGGCGUUACCCGCAGAAGAAGCACCGGCUAACUCCGUGCCAGCAGCCGCGGUAAUUC
rnacentral:rRNA from 1 species